rnacentral:rRNA from 1 species
CCUACGGGAGGCAGCAGUAAGGAAUAUUGGUCAAUGGGCGCAAGCCUGAACCAGCCAUGCCGCGUGCAGGAAGACGGCCCUAUGGGUUGUAAACUGCUUUUGAACAAGAGAAAACCUCGGUACGUGUACCGAGCUGAUAGUAUUGUUAGAAUAAGCAUCGGCUAACUUCGUGCCAGCAGCCGCGGUAAGACGAAGGAUGCAAGCGUUAUCCGGAUUCAUUGGGUUUAAAGGGUGCGUAGGCGGACCGAUAAGUCAGUGGUGAAAUCUCUCAGCUUAACUGAGAAACUGCCAUUGAUACUGUCAGUCUAGAGUAUAGAUGAUGUGGGCGGAAUAUGACAUGUAGUGGUGAAAUACUUAGAUAUGUCAUAGAACACCGAUUGCGAAGGCAGCUCACAAAACUAUAACUGACGCUGAGGCACGAAAGUGCGGGGAUCAAACAGGAUUAGAUACCCUGGUAGUCCGCACCGUAAACGAUGAUUACUCGUUGUUGGCAAUAUGACCGUCAGCGACCAAGCGAAAGCGAUAAGAAUCCACCUGGGAGUACGCCGGCAACGGUGAACGUANAGAUGACGNNGNGAGNGCGAGAGCACGAGGGAGAG